AGCGAACGCUGGCGGCAGGCCUAACACAUGCAAGUCGAACGAAAUCUUCGGGCUUAGGGGCGGUCGUGGGAGUAACACGGGGGAACGAGCCCGUAGGUUCGGUAUCAUUCAGGUAGACUUAAGCUAAUGCCGGUUGGGCUCUUCGGGGGUAAGAUCUCUUGCUUUUUGAGCGGCGCGCGUCUGAUUCGCCGGUUGGGGAGGUAAAGGCUCCUCAUGGGGACGUUCAGUAGCUGGUGUGUGAGGAUGACCAUCCACAUUGGGACUGCGACACGGCCCAAACUCCUACGGGACGCAGCGGUAGGGAGUCUUGCGCACUGGGCGAAAGCCUGGCGAAGCCGUGCCGCGUGAAUGAUGAAUGUCUUAGGAUUGUAAAAUUCUUUGACCGGAGGCGAUAAUGACGGUACCCGGAGAAGAAGCACCGGCUAACUUCGUG
rnacentral:rRNA from 1 species